rnacentral:rRNA from 1 species
UACGUAGGGUGCGAGCGUUAAUCGGAAUUACUGGGCGUAAAGCGUGCGCAGGCGGUUGUGCAAGACAGAUGUGAAAUCCCCGGGCUUAACCUGGGAAUUGCAUUUGUGACUGCACGGCUAGAGUGCGUCAGAGGGGGGUAGAAUUCCACGUGUAGCAGUGAAAUGCGUAGAUAUGUGGAGGAAUACCGAUGGCGAAGGCAGCCCCCUGGGAUGACACUGACGCUCAUGCACGAAAGCGUGGGGAGCAAACAGG